AAAUCAUGUGAUGAGAAAAAAAAACUGCAACAAUAUGAUUGGAUUCGUUCCAUGAUUCCUUGUAUUUAAGUCUCUGAUGAUU
rfam:Vigna radiata var. radiata cultivar VC1973A chromosome 1, whole genome shotgun sequence